rnacentral:lncRNA from 1 species
AAGAAAAUAAAUUAAUAAAUGCAAUCAAAUCCAAAACCGAUGAACUAAAUUAGUGAACUUUAUUAUCCAUAAAAAUAUCCAAAGUACUUCUAAAUUUCAAAAACAUACAAUUGAAACUUAACAAUUCAAUAGUUAAUCAAUAUUUCAAACUCAAGCCAACAGCCAAAAAAGACCAAUCCAAAACCAAACCAAAGUACUCAGCAUUCAGCAACAUCCAGCACCAAAGCUAUGCAAAAUGUAGUCCUUUUCCAGCAGCAAAAUCCAGAAGCCCCCGAGCCAAGUAAGAAGUAUCCCAUUUCAUCAAUUGAAAUAUUAAGUGAAAUAUAAGCAUUUACACAUGAAAAUAUUAAGAAUAACAUCUACAAAAAGGAAAAAAAUACAAGUAAUAAUAGAAUAUGAAAAUACUCAGUGAAAUAUAAGGCGAGACCCCUUUUUUCCCUUCUCUGAAGUAAGGCAUUAAAAUGGAUUAAAGAAAUUAUGAUUGUGUUCCACACCUGGAGCUGGUAGAGACACACUCUGGUCAUUUAAUAUUGCCUUGGCACCAUUUGAAUAAGUCCAUAUUAGUAUCCACAAAUUCAAGGAAGAUGAUUGGCCUCCGUCUUACAUAUAUCAUAUUCAAGUCCAAAUAGCUUUAUUCCUCGUGGGAUUUAUUUGAUCAAACUAAUAGUUCAGGAUGAAAAAUGGUUAGAACCUCACAGUCAUCGAAAGUUACUGUCUCAUAAUUCAUUUUAGUGCUUAUAACACAGAGGAAAUAAAAUUAAAAUAUUGAAACAUACAUAUAUCAUGCAGGGGCGGAUGUAGCAUGUGACCAGUGGGGGCUCAAGCCCCCACUGGCCAAAAC